rnacentral:rRNA from 1 species
GAUGGACGCUGGCGGCGUGCCUAAUACAUGCAAGUCGAGCGAAUGGAUUAAGAGCUUGCUCUUAUGAAGUUAGCGGCGGACGGGUGAGUAACACGUGGGUAACCUGCCCAUAAGACUGGGAUAACUCCGGGAAACCGGGGCUAAUACCGGAUAACAUUUUGAACCGCAUGGUUCGAAAUUGAAAGGCGGCUUCGGCUGUCACUUAUGGAUGGACCCGCGUCGCAUUAGCUAGUUGGUGAGGUAAGGGCUAACCAAGGCAACGAUGCGUAGCCGACCUGAGGGGGUGAUCGGCCACACUGGGACGGAGACACGGCCCAGACUCCUACGGGAGGAAGCAGUAGGGAAUCUUCCGCAAUGGACGAAAGUCUGACGGAGCAACGCCGCGUGAGUGAUGAAGGCUUUCGGGUCGUAAAACUCUGUUGUUAGGGAAGAACAAGUGCUAGUUGAAUAAGCUGGAACCUUGACGGUACCUAACCAGAAAGCCACGGCUAACUACGUGCCAGCCGCCGCAGUAA